AGUCCGGUCAGCGAAGGGUAACUGGAGCGUAAACGAGGCUGUAGAGAAGUCUUACAUAGUUACAUUCAUCUCUCUCUCUCUCUCUCUCUCUCUCUCUCUCCAUUUCGCACUUCGGAUCUUUCUCUUCCGUCAUCGAAUGGAUGCCCUAGACUCCGUCGUCGAUCCCUUGAGAGAGUUCGCCAAGGACAGCGCUCGCCUCGUCAAGAGGUGCCACAAGCCCGAUCGCAAGGAGUUCACGAAGGUGGCGUUUCGCACCGCGAUCGGCUUCGUGGUGAUGGGAUUCGUUGGGUUUUUUGUGAAGCUGAUUUUCAUUCCCAUCAACAACAUCAUCGUCGGGUCUGGCUAGGGUUCGAGUGAGCGCCGCAGGUAUCUUUUCAGGGUCUUUGUUGGCAUAGUUCAAGAACAUAGGACCUUCACGUGAUCGAGCUUAGAGAAGUUCGGGGUUGUUAUAGCAUUUUUAGAUAUAGAAAGAAAAAAAGUAUAAACUUUAAUGAUACUUUUGGGAUGUAUAAGUUUUAUAUUUUAUGUUUUAAAUCUUCUGAGUUGUGAAUACUGGAAGUUGUAGAUUAUGUUUUUGGAGAUAUGUAUAUAUGUGGAUACAGGUGGAUGAAUGGUUUAUUUUGGAAUGUAGAUAGAUAUAGAAAACUAUGAUAAUAUAUUGUUGAGGAUUAUAUUUAUGUUUUUCGUUGCGUAAAUAAAAUAAAAUGUUAGGUAUCAGGUAAAUGAAUGAAUGACGUAGCACCCGGGUCACACUAGGUGGGUUCGAGGCACCAUGAAGCACGACUAUUUAGGUAUAACGCACCAGACCAGGUUUUCGGGUUCGGGGCGUUACAAUCCUUAAUACAAAUCACAAUAUAACGUUGGUAGGAUAUGAGGAGUUUGUUAUAUUGUCAUUCAUAUAAAUGGGGUAAAACGUUGGCAGACUUGAGGAGUUCAUUUUACUGAUUUACUAUGAAUAGGUCAUUGUGAAAAUGUAAUAGUGGGCGUGUGUUGUGAAGUACGUGUUAAGAAUGAUGGGGAGGGAUGCUUAGUACGUGGAGGGAACGAUGAGGAGGGAUGCCCUGAGAACCAUGAAAAGUGAAGUAUUUGUGCAUUAGUCUUUGUGGGUGUGAGUACAUUUAUGUGAAUUAAAUGUAUUGUGAUUGUGGAUGUGUUAUGGUUACAUAUAAUACGUGUAUGCAGAUUUCUGUGAUAUGAUUGAUGAUGUAUGUGUGAGUACAA